rnacentral:lncRNA from 1 species
UCUCUUCAACCACUUCUUAAGUUUCGAUAGGUAAGAUCAGCAUUAAUGUUUAGUUAUAAUCGAUUUAUGUUUUUAUUUUUUAUUAUUAUUGUUGUUAUUGUAAGUUUGGUGAGUGUCUGUGUUAGUUUUUUUUUUUUUAAUCUUUGUUUUGGGUUUUUAUGAAUAAAGUGUUUCAAGAUUAGGUUUCAUAUGUAUUUUUUUUUUAAAUUUAUGAUUUACAGAUAUAAUUUCUCGAAAAUUAAUUUACUUUUACUUGUUUUGUUGUAUAUUGUUUAUGUUAUUUUUUUCGGUCACUUUUUGGGAAAUAAAAACCCCCUACAACUAUUAAAAAAAUUAAAUUUAAAAGAAAUUAAUUAAUUAAUUCUAGAAAAAUAGUUAUUAUUCAAAUAUUUUUAAGAACUUGAAAGCCAGGAAAAACCCACACAGUAUAAAACAUUUAAGAUCAACCUAAAAAACCCUAUUUAGAAAUUUAAAAAACUCUGAAAAUCUAAAAACAAAUGAUCAAUAUCUAAGAGGAAUUAAGAAAAAACUUUGUUUUUUCAGUUGAUGUGCAAAAUAUUAGAUUUAUUCAAGGUUAAUAUGAUCCAAGAUAUAAUAAUAAGAACCUGUAACCUUUCAAGGGGGCACUUUGAGUUGAGUAAUUAUGCUUUGUUUCAGUGAAUACUAAAUAUAUUUAUGGGAAUGGAAAGUCGAAAAUCAUAACCAAAGAUUCUCAAGCUUUUCAUAUGGCUUCAGAAUUCAUUGUCGACAGAAAGAAAAGAAGAAAAAGAAAGGUAAUUACUAAUCAUUUCUGGGAAGCUAAAGUUUUUAAAAUAUGUGUAUCCUUUACCGAUUUUCGUAUUUACUAGCUACUAGCCCACCAAACUUAUUGAGAAGUUGAUAUUAUACACCACAUAGGGCAUUAAAAGGCUCUUAAUUACUUGUCCUUUUUGAAGGCGGGCCAAACCUCAUUAACUGGUUAAUUUUCACCAUUGAAGACAGCAGAUAACGAACUUCUUUAUUUCAUCGAAGAAGGUGGUGGUGGAAGAAGAUGGUGCUGGUGGUGGAAGAAGGUGGAGGUUAGCUUUAAGUCUUACAGCGAUGAACGAAGGUCAUCGAUUGAAGAAGUCACACAGCCGAAAGCCACUGAAAAAGCAGAAUGGCAUGUUGCAGGAUAACAUCAACAUGCCAUGCAGCAUACAGUGAUGGCUCUAGCUAACAUGUAGAGAAACGAUCAUACGAUUGAAAUGAAAAACUGACUUCUUUAUUUACAGUCAGCUAUGACAAAAAAAUAAAUAUUCAA